UUGCCAGCCCGCUCAGAAACUUAAAGGAAUUGACGGGGGCCCGCACAAGCGGUGGAGCAUGUGGUUAAUUCGAUGAUACGCGAGGAACCUUACCUGGGCUCAAAUGUAUGUUGACGUAUUCUGAAAGGGAUACUUCUUCGGACAAUAUACAAGGUGCUGCAUGGUUGUCGUCAGCUCGUGCCGUGAGGUGUCGGGUUAAGUCCCAUAACGAGCGCAACCCCUAUCAUUAGUUGCCAUCAGGUCAAGCUGGGGACUCUAAUGAAACUGCCUACGCAAGUAGUGAGGAAGGUGGGGAUGACGUCAAAUCAGCACGGCCCUUACGUCCAGGGCUACACACGUGCUACAAUGGCCGGUACAAAGGGCAGCUACCUGGUGACAGGAUGCUAAUCUCAAAAGCCGGUCUCAGUUCGGAUCGGAGUCUGCAACCCGACUCCGUGAAGUUGGAUUCGCUAGUAAUCGCGCAUCAGCCAUGGCGCGGUGAAUACGUUCCCGGGCCUU
rnacentral:rRNA from 1 species